UACGUAGGGGGCAAGCGUUGUCCGGAAUCAUUGGGCGUAAAGAGCGCGUAGGCGGCCCAGUAAGUCCGCUCUGAAAGUCAGGGGCUCAACCCCUGGAUGCGGGUGGAUACUGCUGGGCUAGAGUCCGGAAGAGGUGAGUGGAAUUCCUGGUGUAGCGGUGAAAUGCGCAGAUAUCAGGAGGAACACCGAUGGCGAAGGCGGAUCUCUGGGCCUUGCCUGACGCUGAGGCGCGAAAGCUAGGGGAGCGAACAGG
rnacentral:rRNA from 1 species